rnacentral:rRNA from 1 species
UAACGUAGGAGACGAGCGUUGUCCGGAAUUACUGGCGUAAAGCGCGAUGUAGGCGGAUGAGCAAGUCUGCUGUGAAAGCUCCUGGCCUUAACCGGGAGUGGUCGGUGGAACUGGCUCGUCUGGAGGACGGUAGAGGUAGGUAGAAUUCCCGGUGUAGUGGUGAAUGCGUAGAGAUCGGGAGGAAUACCUGUGGCGAAGGCGGCC